rnacentral:sRNA from 1 species
GAGUCCGCCUUGCGACCGUAUCCGCUAGCGCGACCUGGGAUGCGCUUGGGCUCCCUGUUCGUUCCCACAUGCAGGGCAGCACAAGGAGAAUGGGCGUCAUGACUGAUGUCCACCGGCGCUUCCUCCAGUUGCUGAUGACCCAUGGCGUGCUAGAGGAAUGGGACGUGAAGCGCUUGCAGAGGCACUGCUACAAGGUCCAUGACCGCAAUGCCACCGUAGAUAAGUUGGAAGACUUCAUCAACAACAUUAACAGUGUAUUGGAGUCCUUGUAUAUUGAGAUAAAGAGAGGAGUCACGGAAGAUGAUGGGAGACCCAUUUAUGCAUUGGUGAAUCUUGCUACAACUUCAAUUUCCAAAAUGGCUACGGAUUUUGCAGAGAAUGAACUGGAUUUGUUUAGAAAGGCUGUAAGUAGAGUAAUCCCCAUCGCCCAUUGGGUGGGCUUCUUAUGGGAAAGUUCUGUCUCCGUCAUUAGCAGUGGCAACUGCAGUGUUCAAGGAUCACUGGGGGGACAUGGGCCACCAUUGCUGUCUGAGAAAAGGCUUUGCAGGGAGAUGUCACUGUCUACCCAUCUGGAACUCACAGCUGCCAGGGGGUCCCCAUGGCUGCCUG